rnacentral:rRNA from 1 species
CCUACGGGUGGCAGCAGUGAGGAAUAUUGGUCAAUGGACGAGAGUCUGAACCAGCCAAGUAGCGUGAAGGAUGACUGCCCUAUGGGUUGUAAACUUCUUUUAUAUGGGAAUAAAACGUUCCACGUGUGGGAUUUUGUAUGUACCAUAUGAAUAAGGAUCGGCUAACUCCGUGCCAGCAGCCGCGGUAAUACGGAGGAUCCGAGCGUUAUCCGAAUUUAUUGGGUUUAAAGGGAGCGUAGGUGGAUUGUUAAGUCAGUUGUGAAAGUUUGCGGCUCAACCGUAAAAUUGCAGUUGAAACUGGCAGUCUUGAGUACAGUAGAGGUGGGCGGAAUUCGUGGUGUAGCGGUGAAAUGCUUAGAUAUCACGAAGAACUCCGAUUGCGAAGGCAGUUCACUGGACUGCAACUGACACUGAGGCUCGAAAGUGUGGGUAUCAAACAGGAUUAGAUACCCCUGUAGUC